CUACGGGCGGCUGCAGUGAGGAAUAUUGCACAAUGGGGGAAACCCUGAUGCUGCAACGCCGCGUGGAGGAUGACGCAUUUCGGUGUGUAAACUCCUUUUAUCAGAGAAGAAAAUGACGGUAUCUGAUGAAUAAGCUCCGGCUAACUCCGUGCCAGCAGCCGCGGUAAUACGGAGGGAGCAAGCGUUAUUCGGAAUCACUGGGCGUAAAGGACGCGUAGGCGGGUUUUUAAGUCAGGUGUGAAAUCCUACAGCUCAACUGUAGAACUGCACUUGAAACUGGGAACCUAGAGUAUGGAAGGGGCAGGUGGAAUUAGUGGUGUAGGGGUAAAAUCCGUAGAUAUCACUAGGAAUACCGAAAGCGAAGGCGACCUGCUGGGACAUAACUGACGCUGAGGCGUGAAAGCGUGGGGAGCAAACAGGAUUAGAUACCCCAGUAGUC
rnacentral:rRNA from 1 species